UACGUAGGUGGCAAGCGUUGUCCGGAUUUAUUGGGUUUAAAGGGUGCGUAGGCGGCCCCAUAAGUCAGUGCUGAAAUACUCUAGCUCAACCAGAGGGGUGGCAUUGAUACUGCGGGGCUUGAGUGGAGUCGAGGUAGGCGGAAUUGACGGUGUAGCGGUGAAAUGCUUAGAUAUCGUCAAGAACACCGAUAGUGUAGACAGCUUACUAGGCUUCAACUGACGCUGAGGCACGAAAGUGUGGGGAUCAAACAGG
rnacentral:rRNA from 1 species